rnacentral:rRNA from 1 species
UACGUAGGGUGCGAGCGUUGUCCGGAAUUAUUGGGCGUAAAGGGCUCGUAGGCGGUUUGUUGCGUCGGGAGUGAAAACAUCCAGCUUAACUGGGUGCUUGCUUUCGAUACGGGCAGACUUGAGGUAUGCAGGGGAGAAUGGAAUUCCUGGUGUAGCGGUGAAAUGCGCAGAUAUCAGGAGGAACACCGGUGGCGAAGGCGGUUCUCUGGGCCUUACCUGACGCUGAGGCGCGAAAGCUAGGGGAGCGAACAGG